rnacentral:rRNA from 1 species
UACGUAGGGGGGCAAGCGUUGUCCGGAAUCAUUGGGCGUAAAGCGCGUGUAGGCGGCUCGGUAAGUCUGCUGUGAAAGUCCAGGCUCAACCCUGGGAUGCCGGUGGAUACUGUCGAGCUCGAGUCCGGAAGAGGCGAGUGGAAUUCCUGGUGUAGCGGUGAAAUGCGCAGAUAUCAGGAGGAACACCGAUGGCGAAGGCAGCUCGCUGGACGUGGACUGACGCUGGAGACGCGAAAGCGUGGGAGCAAAC